CAAGGUCUGACACCAAGGCCAAGGCAGGUGGCAGUGUUUUCCUCACUCCAUUCUCAUGAGCAAAUUUGCUGAUUAGACAUUUGUUCUUUCAUUUAUUUAUUCCACAAGUGUUUGCUGUGUGCUCGCCUUGUGCCAGGCACUGUACUGGGUGCAGAGUUUGGAAGAAGAGUUCCUGGGCCAGACACAUACCAACCACUGUAAGACAUGCCAGAGCAAUGCCAAGGGAUUUGCAUGGCAAAGUGGAAGUCCUCAGGGGAAGAAAAUCCAGACCAGAAGUCAGGAGGUUUUCAUUCUGGUUUUGUAUACUCACGAAUUCCUGUGGAAUUUGCCCCGUUUGUUUAUGCUUUUCGGUCACUGUUAUCUUGUCUAUAGAAUGGGGCUAAGAGUGUUUGUCCCAUGUGCUUCUAGGAUUGUUACAAGGAUGAAAUGAGAUCAUAAAUGUGAAAGUGUUUCAUAAAUAAUGAAAUUCUUUGUACAUAUGAGGAUUAAAAUGUCAAGAUUAAACAUGGACUGUGAUAGAAUUUAAGGUACAUUCGUCAUCUGAACUGUCAUUCUUUGGAAUAUUUACUUUCUUUAAUCCUGACAAGUAUUAGUUAGGUUGGUGCUUCUGUCCCCAUUUUGGGAUUAGGGAACCAAGGUUCACCCAGAAGUCCAUGCUCUCACAUUCUUGCUGUUCCCACUUAUACCCUGAAGAAUCCAGAGAAUUUCUGACCUCCAUGAAUAGCCCCGGGCUCUCUUGCUGAGUUUCUCACGCUGCCCCAUUCAUCUGCUAACGACCCUUUCAAGGCUCCAG
rnacentral:lncRNA from 1 species